UACCAGCACCUCGAGUGGUCAGGACGUUUAUUGGGCCUAAAGCAUCCGUAGCCGGUUUUGCAAGUCUCCGGUUAAAUCCACCUGCUCAACAGAUGGGCCGCUGGAGAUACUACAAAACUAGGGAGUGGGAGAGGCAGACGGUAUUCAGUGGGUAGGGGUAAAAUCCUCUGAUCCUCUGAGGACCACCAGUGGCGAAGGCGGUCUGCCAGAACACGUUCGACGGUGAGGGAUGAAAGCUGGGGGAGCAAAC
rnacentral:rRNA from 1 species